UACGUAGGGUGCGAGCGUUGUCCGGAAUUAUUGGGCGUAAAGAGCUCGUAGGCGGUGUGUCGCGUCGGCCGUGAAAACCUGCAGCUUAACUGUGGGCUUGCGGUCGAUACGGGCAUCACUGGAGUUCGGCAGGGGAGACUGGAAUUCCUGGUGUAGCGGUGAAAUGCGCAGAUAUCAGGAGGAACACCGGUGGCGAAGGCGGGUCUCUGGGCCGAUGACUG
rnacentral:rRNA from 1 species